GGGGAGUACUAUUCAUGAAAACCCAUGCUCUUUGGCGGCCUUUUCUUCUGAUCAGAGGAACUCGCAUCUUAAUCCGAUAAUCCUCGUUAAAUUUCACUUUUUUUUAAAAGCCUUUAUAUCGCUGUCUUUAGGUAUAAAUCUCAGCUUAUACUUAUUCAAGUCUCUUUUUACGUCAAGUCGAGAUAAAGCCCAUAAAAAAGGGAGCCGAGUUACUUAUACUUUUAUUUAAUAUUAUUAUUUUAAAAAUCUUUAAAUUCAGGAUUUGAAAGUAAUAAAUCAAUAAUAUUUUUCUAUGAAAUAGAAUUCUAGGUGU
rnacentral:rRNA from 1 species